rnacentral:rRNA from 1 species
AACGAACGCUGGCGGCAUGCCUAACACAUGCAAGUCGAACGAGACCUUCGGGUCUAGUGGCGCACGGGUGCGUAACGCGUGGGAAUCUACCCUUGGGUUCGGAAUAACAGUUAGAAAUGACUGCCAAUACCGGAUGAUGACGUAAGUCCAAAGAUUUAUCGCCCAAGGAUGAGCCCGCGUAAGAUUAGCUUGUUGGUGGGGUAAUGGCCUACCAAGGCGACGAUCGUUAGCUGGGCUGAGAGGAUGAUCAGCCACACUGGGACUGAGACACGGCCCAGACUCCUACGGGAGGCAGCAGUGGGGAAUAUUGGACAAUGGGCGAAAGCCUGAUCCAGCAAUGCCGCGUGAGUGAUGAAGGCCUUAGGGUUGUAAAGCUCUUUUACCAGGGAUGAUAAUGACAGUACCUGGAGAAUAAGCUCCGGCUAACUCCGUGCCAGCAGCCGCCGUAA